GACGUAGGGUGCGAGCGUUGUCCGGAAUUACUGGGCGUAAAGAGCUCGUAGGUGGUUUGCCGCGUUGUUCGUGAAAACUCACAGCUCAACUGUGGGCGUGCGGCGAUACGGGCAGACUGGAGUACUGCAGGGGAGACUGGAAUUCUGGUGUAGCGGUGGAAUGCGCAGAUAUCAGGAGGAACACCGGUGGCGAAGGCGGGUCUCUGGGCAGUAACUGACGCUGAGGAGCGAAAGCGUGGGGAGCGAACAGG
rnacentral:rRNA from 1 species